rnacentral:rRNA from 1 species
UACGUAGGUGGCAAGCGUUAUCCGGAAUUACUGGGCGUAAAGCGCACGCAGGCGGCUAGGCAAGUUCGACGUGAAAGCUCCCGGCUUAACUGGGAGAGGUCGUUGAAAACUGCCAAGCUUGAGGCAAUGAGAGGGGUGUAGAAUUCCCGGUGUAGUGGUGGAAUGCGUAGAUAUCGGGGGGAAUACCAGUGGCGAAAGCGGCACCCUAGCGUUGUUCUGACGCUCAUGUGCGAAAGCGUGGGGAGCGAACGGGAUUAGAUACCCCCGUAGUCC